rnacentral:rRNA from 1 species
GAGGAAUAUUGGACAAUGGGUGAGAGCCUGAUCCAGCCAUCCCGCGUGAAGGACGACGGCCCUAUGGGCUGUAAACUUCUUUUGUAUAGGGAUAAACCUACCCUCGUGAGGGUAGCUGAAGGUACUAUACGAGUAAGCACCGGCUAACUCCGUGCCAGCAGCCGCGGUAAUACGGAGGGUGCAAGCGUUAUCCGGAUUUAUUGGGUUUAAAGGGUCCGUAGGCGGAUCUGUAAGUCAGUGGUGAAAUCUCACAGCUUAACUGUGAAACUGCCAUUGAUACUGCAGGUCUUGAGUGUUGUUGAAGUAGCUGGAAUAAGUAGUGUAGCGGUGAAAUGCAUAGAUAUUACUUAAGACACCAAUUGCGAAGGCAGGUUACUAAGCAACAACUGACGCUGAUGGACGAAAGCGUGGGGAUCGAACAGGAUUAGAUACCCUGGUAGUCCACGCUGUAAACGAUGAUCACUCGAUGUUGGCGAUAUACUGUCAGCGUCCAAACGAAAGCGAUAAGUGAUCCACCUGGGGAGUACGAUCGCAAGAUUGAAACUCAAAGGAAUUGACGGGACCUGUACUGAGACACGGGACCACCCCAAACUCAAAGGAAUUGACGGNAAUCACUAGUGAAUUCGCGGC